rnacentral:tRNA from 1 species
GCGAGCGUAGCUUAGCGGUAAAGCCCCGCACUGUGGAUGCGGUGACCGCGGGUUCGAAUCCCGUCGCUCGCCCCA